ACACUGGUGGUGAAGCGGUAUCAUCCUUGCCUUCCAAUCGCGAAUUGGCUCAGCAAGCGGCAGGGGUUCGACUCCCUUUCAGUGUA